CUAAACGAGCUUGUCGAUGUCUUAUACUGGAUGAUUGUGAGAAAAGGGAAAUUAAAAAGGUGAAUGUCAGUGAGGAAGGGCCACUUAAUUCUGCAGUAGUUGAAGAAAUCACAGGCUAUUUGGCUGUCAAUGGUGUUGAUGACAGUGAUUCAGCUGUUAUAAACUGUGAUGACUGUCAGCCUGAUGGGAACACUAAACAAAAUAGCAUUGGUUCCUAUGUGUUACAGGAAAAAUCAGUAGCUGAAAAUGGGGAUACGGAUACCCAAACUUCAAUGUUCCUUGAUAGUAGGAAGGAGGACAGUUAUAUAGACCAUAACGUGCCUUGCACAAAUUCACAAGUGCAGGUCAAGUUGGAGGACCACAAAAUAGUAACUGCCUGCUUGCCUGUGGAACAUGUUAAUCAGCUGACUACUGAGCCAGCUACAGGGCCCUUUUCUGAAACUCAGUCAUCUUUAAGGGAUUCUGAGGAGGAAGUAGAUGUGGUGGGAGAUAGCAGUGCCUCAAAAGAGCAGUGUAAAGAAAACACCAAUAACGACCUGGACACAAGUCUUGAGAGUAUGCCAGCCUCUGGAGAACCUGAACCAUCUCCUGUUCUAGACUGUGUUUCAGCUCAAAUGAUGUCUUUAUCAGAACCUCAAGAACAUCGUUAUACUCUGAGAACCUCACCACGAAGGGCAGCCCCUACCAGAGGUAGUCCCACUAAAAACAGUUCUCCUUACAGAGAAAAUGGACAAUUUGAGGAGAAUAAUCUUAGUCCUAAUGAAACAAAUGCAACUGUUAGUGAUAAUGUAAGUCAAUCUCCUACAAAUCCUGGUGAAAUUUCUCAAAAUGAAAAAGGGAUAUGUUGUGACUCUCAAAAUAAUGGAAGUGAAGGAGUAAGUAAACCACCCUCAGAGGCAAGACUCAAUAUUGGACAUUUGCCAUCUGCCAAAGAGAGUGCCAGUCAGCACAUUACAGAAGAGGAAGAUGAUGAUCCUGAUGUUUAUUACUUUGAAUCAGAUCAUGUGGCACUGAAACACAACAAAGAUUAUCAGAGACUAUUACAGACGAUUGCUGUACUCGAGGCUCAGCGUUCUCAAGCAGUCCAAGACCUUGAAAGUUUAGGCAGGCACCAGAGAGAAGCACUGAAAAAUCCCAUUGGAUUUGUGGAAAAACUCCAGAAGAAGGCUGAUAUUGGGCUUCCAUAUCCACAGAGAGUUGUUCAAUUGCCUGAGAUCGUAUGGGACCAAUAUACCCAUAGCCUUGGGAAUUUUGAAAGAGAAUUUAAAAAUCGUAAAAGACAUACUAGAAGAGUUAAGCUAGUUUUUGAUAAAGUAGGUUUACCUGCUAGACCAAAAAGUCCUUUAGAUCCUAAGAAGGAUGGAGAGUCCCUUUCAUAUUCUAUGUUGCCUUUGAGUGAUGGUCCAGAAGGCUCAAGCAGUCGUCCUCAGAUGAUAAGAGGACGCUUGUGUGAUGAUACCAAACCUGAAACAUUUAACCAAUUGUGGACUGUUGAAGAACAGGUAAUAGAUAUUUCAAAAUCGUGUAGGCUUAAAAAAACAAGUAAACAGUUAACAUCAGAGUCAGUAUUAUGAGGCCAGGUCCAGUGGCUCACGCCUGUAAUCCCAGCACUUUGGGAGGCUGAUAUGGGUGGAUCACUUGAAGUCAGGAGUUCAAGACCAACCUGGCCAACAUGGUGAAACCCUACUAAAAAUACAAAAAUUAGCUGGGUGUGAUGGCGUGUGCAUAUAUAAUCCCAGCUACUCGGGAGGCUGAGGCAGGAGAAUUGCUUGAACCCAGGAGGCAGAGGUUGCAUUGAGCCAGGAUCAUGCCACUGCACUCCAGGCUGGGCAACAGAGUGAGACUCCAUCUCAAAAAGAAAAGAGCCUGUAUUUUGAGUCAGGUGUAUAUUGUUGUAUGUGAUGCCUGUUAGCCAUGAGUUUUAAAUAUUUAGGCUUAUUUUUGUAUACCUUUUUGCAUACGUCAAGAAUUUUGGAUUUUGAGAAUGUGUAAACUUUUGUUUGGGGAUAAUUUUAAAAGAAGGAACCUGGGUUUUGAGAGGGGAGUAGAAGUGGAUAGAAUAAAAUAGAUGUUUUUGUAAUGUAGCUUUGGGAGAGAGAAAAACCUGAGGCCAGUAAAGCUGAGCUUUAAAGUGCAUUCUUAUUUUUGUUGUCGAAGGGAGGUGAGGAAGUCAAGUCAGUUUUGGCAUACAGUUAGAAUUGUUUUUUGGCUAAUGGCUAGGGUUGUUAGUGGGUGAAGUUUGAGGCACAUCUUUGUCUCAUAUGGCUAUUAACCCCACAGCUAUACGUUUAACAGUUUAUAAAAAGCUUUGGGAAAUCUAUUUAUUUCAAGCAUCCAGAUUUUUCUGCAUCUUUAGGACUAUGAGAAGAUAUAGGAGACAAGAAGGAAUAUUAAAAUCAAAUAUUUGAAUAAAGGACCAUACAAAAGAAGGAAAAGCCUCUUUUAAUAGUCAAAAUUUAAGUGAAUUUACACGUUUUUGUUAAAACUGUAGGGGAAAGAAAAGUAAGAAAAGAUUGUCCAUCUUUUCUUGGAUUUCAGUGGAUUUAGUGAUUUCAGUGGAAAUCACUAAAAUGUGUAAUCUACCAAUUUGUUUACUUAUUUUCUGUUUUCUUAUGAGAUAUUUUUACUUACAUGAAUAGAAAACUUUUCUAAGCUCUUUCAUAAGUUUAUUCUCUAAUUUCAUUGUUCCCUGUGAAGUCUUAAGUUUCUAACUAGAAAUUUUUCCUACCAUGAGGAUUUCUAAUUAUGUAACCCCCAAAGGUGGGAGAGAGUAUUACACUUUGAAAUGAAAUGUGAAUGUAUUUAUUUAGAAAUUCAAUAUUUAAAAUUAAAUACAUAUUUUCUUAAAUUUGGUCUUGGGUAUGGCUUAGAAAAAGCUGGAACAGCUACUCAUCAAAUACCCUCCUGAAGAAGUAGAAUCUCGACGCUGGCAGAAGAUAGCAGAUGAAUUGGGCAACAGGACAGCAAAACAGGUUGCCAGCCGAGUACAGAAGUAUUUCAUAAAGCUAACUAAAGCUGGCAUUCCAGUACCAGGCAGAACACCAAACUUAUAUAUAUACUCCAAAAAGUCUUCAACAAGCAGACGACAGCACCCUCUUAAUAAGCAUCUCUUUAAGCCUUCCACUUUCAUGACUUCACAUGAACCGCCAGUGUAUAUGGAUGAAGAUGAUGACCGAUCUUGUUUUCAUAGCCACAUGAACACUGCUGUUGAAGAUGCAUCAGAUGACGAAAGUAUUCCUAUCAUGUAUAGGAAUUUACCUGAAUAUAAAGAACUAUUACAGUUUAAAAAGUUAAAGAAGCAGAAACUUCAGCAAAUGCAAGCUGAAAGUGGAUUUGUGCAACAUGUGGGCUUUAAGUGUGAUAACUGUGGCAUAGAACCCAUCCAGGGUGUUCGGUGGCAUUGCCAGGAUUGUCCUCCAGAAAUGUCUUUGGAUUUCUGUGAUUCUUGUUCAGACUGUCUACAUGAAACAGAUAUUCACAAGGAAGAUCACCAAUUAGAACCUAUUUAUAGGUCAGAGACAUUCUUAGACAGAGACUACUGUGUGUCUCAGGGCACCAGUUACAAUUACCUUGACCCAAACUACUUUCCAGCAAACAGAUGACAUGGAAGAGAACAUCAUUUACUAGUCCUCUUCAACACAUAGCAAUGGUAUCAUUGUUAAUUAUGUGCACAGUUUGGAAAGAUUCUCUGCUUUCCCAGAAAUGACACUCACAGCAUGAGAGCUUCCUGAGUGUUCUCGUCAAGUACAGCUCUGCACCGUUGUGGCUCUAGAUCACUGUUCAGCAGCUGAACAUUCCUGGUGAGCAAAGGUUUCCCUGGUGAAUUUUUCACCACUGCGUUUUAGGUGGUGAUCUUAAAUGGGUGAGAUGGAAUGAGAGCACACAUUAAAGAGAGAGUAAAUUCCAAAGGUUUCAAAGAACUUGGUCAUAAAUAUGAUAAUGAGAAGACAAAGUAUUUAUAUUAAAACAGUUUAGUAGCCUUCAGUUUUGUGAAAAUAGUUUUCAGCACAGAAACUGACUUCUUUAGACAAAGUUUUAACCAAUGAUGGUGUUUGCUUCUAGGAUAUACACUUUAAAAGAACUCACUGUCCCAGUGGUGGUCAUUGAUGGCCUUUAGUAAAUUGGAGCUGCUUAAUCAUAUUGAUAUCUAAUUUCUUUUAACCACAAUGAAUUGUCCUUAAUUACCAACAGUGAAGCACUACAGGAGGCAACUGUGGCAUUGCUUCCUUAACCAGCUCAUGGUGUGUGAAUGUUAUAAAAUUGUCACUCAGAUAUAUUUUUUAAAUGUAAUGUUAUAUAAGAUGAUCAUGUGAUGUGUACAAACUAUGGUGAGAAGUGCCAGUGGUAGUAACUGUGUAAAGUUUCUAAUUCACAACAUUAAUUCCUUUAAAAUACACAGCCUUCUGCCUCUGUAUUUGGAGUUGUCAGUACAACUCAUCAAAGAAAACUGCCUAAUAUAAAAAUCAUAUAUAUGGUAAUAAUUUCCCUCUUUUGUAGUCUGCACAAGAUCCAUAAAAGAUUGUAUUUUUAUUACUAUUUAAACAAGUGAUUAAAUUUAGUCUGCACAGUGAGCAAGGGUUCACAUGCAUUCUUUUAUACUGCUGGAUUUUGUUGUGCAUCAUUUAAAACAUUUUGUAUGUUUCUUCUUAUCUGUGUAUACAGUAUGUUCUUGAAUGAUGUUCAUUUGUCAGGAGAACUGUGAGAAAUAAACUAUGUGGAUACUGUCUGUUUAUAUU
rnacentral:sRNA from 1 species